AACGAACGCUGGCGGCAUGCCUAACACAUGCAAGUCGAACGAGACCUUCGGGUCUAGUGGCGCACGGGUGCGUAACGCGUGGGAACCUGCCCUUAGGUUCGGAAUAACUCCCCGAAAGGGGUGCUAAUACCGGAUAAUGUCUUCGGACCAAAGAUUUAUCGCCUUUGGAUGGGCCCGCGUUGGAUUAGCUUGUUGGUAGGGUAAAAGCCUACCAAGGCGACGAUCCAUAGCUGGUCUGAGAGGAUGAUCCGCCACACUGGGACUGAGACACGGCCCAGACUCCUACGGGAGGCAGCAGUGGGGAAUAUUGGACAAUGGGCGAAAGCCUGAUCCAGCAAUGCCGCGUGAGUGAUGAAGGCCUUAGGGUUGUAAAGCUCUUUUACCCGGGAUGAUAAUGACAGUACCGGGAGAAUAAGCUCCGGCUAACUCCGUG
rnacentral:rRNA from 1 species